GAUGAACGCUGGCGGCGUGCCUAAUACAUGCAAGUCGAGCGAGCAGACGAGGAGCUUGCUCCUCUGACGUUAGCGGCGGACGGGUGAGUAACACGUGGAUAACCUACCUAUAAGACUGGGAUAACUUCGGGAAACCGGAGCUAAUACCGGAUAAUAUAUUGAACCGCAUGGUUCAAUAGUGAAAGACGGUUUUGCUGUCACUUAUAGAUGGAUCCGCGCCGCAUUAGCUAGUUGGUAAGGUAACGGCUUACCAAGGCAACGAUGCGUAGCCGACCUGAGAGGGUGAGCGGCCACAGUGGAACUGAGAAACGGUCCAGAAUCCUAGGGGAGGCAGCAGGAGGGAAUCUUCCGAAAUGGGCGAAAGCUUGACGGAGCAACGCCGGGGGAGUGAAGAAGGUUUGCGGAUCGUAAAACUUUGUUAUUAGGGAAAAAAAAAUGUGUAAGUAACUAUGCACGUCUUGACGGUACCAAAUCAGAAAGCCACGGCUAACUACGG
rnacentral:rRNA from 1 species